CGGCUCCAGCAGCCUGUACGGACGCGUCGGUGUUUGCGCUGGAGCCGCGGAUGGCGGAUGCUCCUGAAUGCUGUGUACGACCGGGCGGGGUGAUGAGUGUAGAGCUCCGUCGUCCCAAAACCUUACCUCAGCCAAAGGCCCCACCUUUCGUGUGCGGCACGGAUUUACAGUGUGCCAAGGACGGUGCUGGGAGACGAACGAGACAGUGGUGAUAAAAACACACAAGCCCUGCCCUCCUGGCGCUCCCCGUGCGGCUGGGAACACAGACACUAAGCAAAGGAGGUGGACACUCUGAGCAGCAAGAGUGGCACUGCCAAACUCCCACCACGGGAAGUACUCUCAGCAUCCCAGCGUCAAGCUGCCAUAGGCUUGAACUGUGACCAGGACUGAAGGGAUAGAGAGCUAACUGUAGCCUUUUAGGAGCCAAAUACUCUGGAGGAGAAGGGCCAGUGGCGGCCUGUUCCUCAUUGGCAGAUGUUCGAGCGGACAGACGGCUUGGUGUACGUGAAGAUUUUCCAACGCAGGCAAGACCCAA